rnacentral:rRNA from 1 species
GUGAGCGCUAGCUUACGUGGAGGCAUUGGUGGGAUACUACCCUAAUUGUAUUGGAUUUCUAACCCGCAGCACUUAUCGUGCUGGGAGACAGUGUCAGGCGGGCAGUUUGACUGGGGCGGUCGCCUCCUAAAGAGUAACGGAGGCGCUCAAAGGUUCCCUCAGAAUGGUUGGAAAUCAUUCAUAGAGUGUAAAGGCAUAAGGGAGCUUGACUGCGAGACCUACAAGUCGAGCAGGGUCGAAAGACGGACUUAGUGAUCCGGUGGUUCCGCAUGGAAGGGCCAUCGCUCAACGGAUAAAAGCUACCCCGGGGAUAACAGGCUUAUCUCCCCCAAGAGUUCACAUCGACGGGGAGGUUUGGCACCUCGAUGUCGGCUCAUCGCAUCCUGGGGCUGUAGUCGGUCCCAAGGGUUGGGCUGUUCGCCCAUUAAAGCGGUACGCGAGCUGGGUUCAGAACGUCGUGAGACAGUUCGGUCCCUAUCCGUCGUGGGCGUAGGAAAUUUGAGAGGAGCUGUCCUUAGUACGAGAGGACCGGGAUGGACAUACCUCUGGUGUACCAGUUGUCGUGCCAACGGCAUAGCUGGGUAGCUAUGUAUGGACGGGAUAAGUGCUGAAAGCAUCUAAGCAUGAAGCCCCCCUCGAGAUGAGAUUUCCCAACUUC